ACUGUACGGGAGGCAGCAGUGAGGAAUAUUGGUCAAUGGGCGAGAGCCUGAACCAGCCAAGUCGCGUGAAGGAUGACAGCCCUAUGGGUUGUAAACUUCUUUUGCAGGGGAAUAAAGAACAGCACGUGUGCUGUAGUGAAUGUACCCUACGAAUAAGCAUCGGCUAACUCCGUGCCAGCAGCCGCGGUAAUCAGU
rnacentral:rRNA from 1 species